rnacentral:rRNA from 1 species
ACACGUCUACAUUAGAUACCCCCGUAGUCCCAGCCGUAAACUAUGCGCGUUAGGUGUAUCGGUGACCACGAGUCACCGAGGUGCCGAAGGGAAACCGUGAAACGUGCCGCCUGGGAAGUACGGUCGCAAGGCUGAAACUUAAAGGAAUUGGCGGGGAGCACCACAACGGGUGGAGCCUGCGGUUUAAUUGGACUCAACGCCGGGAAGCUCACCGGAUAGGACAGCAGAAUGAUUGCCGGGCUGAAGACCCUGCAUGACUAGCUG